rnacentral:rRNA from 1 species
ACCCACCUCUAACCUCCAUUAAAUAUUUAUUUAAAAUAUAAGAUAAGCAAAGUUAGGCCUGGUUAGUACUUGGAUGGGAGACCACCUAGGAAGACCAGGUGCUGUAGGCG